CUACUCCCAAAGCCCCAACUGUGUUCCCACUGUCUCCUGGCCAAGACAUUUCCACCGCCUCCCAAGUUACCAUUGGUUGUCUCAUCGAUGACUACUUUCCCGAACCAGCCACGGUGCAAUGGAACUCAGGCGCCAUCACCAGCGGAAUCCUCCACUUCCCUCCAGUUUUGCAUUCGUCCAGCCAUUAUACCCAUAGCAGUCUGCUCACCAUCCCAAUCAACCAGUGGGAAUCGGAGUCAUUCCAGUGCAGCGUUCACCAUCCAGCCACCAACUCCAGAAUUAACAAAAAAAUUGAGCCCUGUGCAGCCCGUGAACCGGUGGCCCCCGAGGUCCGGCUGCUCCAUUCCCCAUGCAACUUGAAAGGGAGUGAUGGAAUCAUACAGCUGGUGUGCUUCAUUGAGAGUUUCUACCCCAAAGAGAUUCACGUUGAAUGGCUGGUGGGCAGCCACCAGGGUUUGCUGGCUCCAUACACCGAACCUCCCAAGCAUGAUGUAAGUGGGUACACCUUCAGUACCACCAGCACGGUCAACAUUACCCAAGCAGAUUGGCUGGAAGGGAAUACGUACUACUGCCAAGUAACCCACGAGGCAUCACAAACCAAGGUGAAAAGCAGAGCCAGGAAAUGUGAAGAUGACAGUAGCCACAUCUCCUCUGGGAUUAACACCUACCUUCUGGCCCCACGCCCAAAAGACUUGUACAUAAACAAAAAUGCCAAGAUCACCUGUGUGGUUGUCAGUCUGGAAAAGGAAGAGGGGUUGAAAAUUAGCUGGUCACGGGAGAAGCAAGAAGCCAUGCAUCCUGAAUUAGUGGAGGUGACCGAAGAAAUGAAUGGAACCUUCACUGCUGUCAGCCGCCUCCGUGUGUCUACCGAAGAUUGGGACUCAGGAGAGCUUUUCACCUGUACAGUGGAAUAUCCAGGUUUGCCCGGCCCCAUCGUUAAGACAAUUUCCAAGAUCAGAGAACACAGCAAGGAACCCAUCAUCCACAUCUACCCUCCCAUUGAAGUGACGCACAACCCUGGCAAUUCAUUGAUCAUAAGCUGCUUAAUUCGUGGGUUCUACCCAGAGGAUAAUGAUGUCCAGUGGCAAAAGAAUGGCAAUCCCAUUUCAGAAGAUAACUAUGUCAACACCCCACCUGUGAAGGAGAAAAGAGAUGAUUCCUUCUUCACGUAUAGCAAACUGUUCCUCCCCGAAUCACAAUGGAACGUUGGAGAUAUUUUCACCUGUAUGAUAGUCCAUGAGGCCCCUGAGAUGAAGUUCAUUCAGAGGAGCAUAGAGAAAUCUACGGGUAAACGUUGAAGACUCCUGUCAACAUGCAUUGUCUUCCUAGAGUUCUCUCUCACUUGUCAUAUCCAGUCCUUGUAAAUAGUUUCCAGGCUUAUGUGUUUGGCUCCUGGCUAAAUAAAAGCAAACCAA